AUGAUGAAAUCCUUGAGAGUUUUACUAGUGAUCCUGUGGCUUCAGUUGAGCUGGGUUUGGAGCCAACAGAAGGAGGUGGAGCAGAAUUCUGGACCCCUCAGUGUUCCAGAGGGAGCCAUUGCCUCUCUCAACUGCACUUACAGUGACCGAGGUUCCCAGUCCUUCUUCUGGUACAGACAAUAUUCUGGGAAAAGCCCUGAGUUGAUAAUGUUCAUAUACUCCAAUGGUGACAAAGAAGAUGGAAGGUUUACAGCACAGCUCAAUAAAGCCAGCCAGUAUGUUUCUCUGCUCAUCAGAGACUCCCAGCCCAGUGAUUCAGCCACCUACCUCUGUGCCGUGAACA